AUUGAACGCUGGCGGCAUGCCUUACACAUGCAAGUCGAACGGCAGCACGGGAGCAAUCCUGGUGGCGAGUGGCGAACGGGUGAGUAAUAUAUCGGAACGUGCCCAGUCGUGGGGAUAACGUAGCGAAAGCUACGCUAAUACCGCAUACGAUCUAUGGAUGAAAGCGGGGGAUCGCAAGACCUCGCGCGAUUGGAGCGGCCGAUAUCAGAUUAGGUAGUUGGUGAGGUAAAGGCUCACCAAGCCGACGAUCUGUAGCUGGUCUGAGAGGACGACCAGCCACACUGGGACUGAGACACGGCCCAGACUCCUACGGGAGGCAGCAGUGGGGAAUUUUGGACAAUGGGCGCAGGCCUGAUCCAGCAAUGCCGCGUGCAGGAUGAAGGCC
rnacentral:rRNA from 1 species